GGGUCGGUGGUGUAGUGGUAACAUGCUCCGCGGCAACAGUCUUUCCCGCGGUCCGUCCCAGGUUCGAUUCCUGGCUGACCUG